GACGAACGCUGGCGGCGUGCCUAAUACAUGCAAGUUGAGCGCUGAAGGUUGGUACUUGUACCAACUGGAUGAGCAGCGAACGGGUGAGUAACGCGUGGGGAAUCUGCCUUUGAGCGGGGGACAACAUUUGGAAACGAAUGCUAAUACCGCAUAAAAACUUUAAACACAAGUUUUAAGUUUGAAAGAUGCAAUUGCAUCACUCAAAGAUUAUCCCGCGUUGUAUUAGCUAGUUGGUGAGGUAAAGGCUCACCAAGGCGAUGAUACAUAGCCGACCUGAGAGGGGGGUCGGCCAAAUUGGGACUGAGAAACGGCCCAAAAUCCUACGGGAGGCAGCAGUAGGGAAUCUUCGGCCAUGGACGAAAGUCUGACCGAGCAACGCCGCGUGAGUGAAGAAGGUUUUCGGAUCGUAAAACUCUGUUGGUAGAGAAGAAAGUUGGUGAGAGUGGAAAGCUCAUCAAGUGACGGUAACUACCCAGAAAGGGACGGCUAACUACGUG
rnacentral:rRNA from 1 species